CCUACGGGAGGCAGCAGUGGGGAAUAUUGGGCAAUGGGCGCAAGCCUGACCCAGCAACGCCGCGUGAAGGAAGAAGGCUUUCGGGUUGUAAACUUCUUUUGCCAGGGAAGAGCAGAAGACGGUACCUGUCGAAUAAGCCACGGCUAACUACGUGCCAGCAGCCGCGGUAAUACGUAGGUGGCAAGCGUUGUCCGGAUUUACUGGGUGUAAAGGGCGUGUAGCCGGGCUGACAAGUCAGAUGUGAAAUACCGGGGCUCAACCCCGGGACUGCAUUUGGAACUGUUAAGCUGGAGUGUCGGAGAGGC
rnacentral:rRNA from 1 species